CCUACGGGUGGCUGCAGUGAGGAAUAUUGGUCAAUGGGCGAGAGCCUGAACCAGCCAAGUCGCGUGAAGGAUGACGGCCCUACGGGUUGUAAACUUCUUUUGUCAGGGAGCAAUUGGGUCCACGCGUGGGCUUAGCGAGAGUACCUGAAGAAAAAGCAUCGGCUAACUCCGUGCCAGCAGCCGCGGUAAUACGGAGGAUGCGAGCGUUAUCCGGAUUUAUUGGGUUUAAGGGGUGCGUAGGCGGAAUAUCAAGUCAGCGGUAAAAAUUCGGGGCUCAACCCCGUCGUGCCGUUGAUACUGGCAGUCUUGAGUACAGUUGAGGUAGGCGGAAUUCGUGGUGUAGCGGUGAAAUGCUUAGAUAUCACGAAGAACCCCGAUUGCGAAGGCAGCUUACUAAACUGUGACUGACAUUGAUGCUCGAAAGUGUGGGUAUCAAACAGGAUUAGAUACCCUGGUAGUC
rnacentral:rRNA from 1 species